UGGGGCCAAUGGAGAGGGGAAUGGGGAAGUCUUUGGGGUGAGGAGAAAAUAAUAGUAAUAAUAAUAAUAAUAAUACUAAUAAUACUAUGGGGCCAAUGGAGAGGGGAAUGGGGAAGUCUUUGGGAUGAGGAGAAAAUAAUAAUAAUAAUAAUAAUAAUAAUAAUAAUAAUAAUAAUAAUAAUAAGGGACCAAUGGAGAGGGGAAUGGGGGAGUCUUUGGGGUGAGGAGAAAAUAAUAAUAAUAAUAAUAAUAAUAAUAAUAAUAAUAAUAAUAAUAAUAAUAAUAUGGGGCCAAUGGAGAGGGGAAUGGGGGAAGAGUCUUUGGGGUGAGGAGAAAAUAAUAAUAAUAAUAAUAAUAAUAAUAAUAAUAAUAAUAAUAAUAAUAAUACUAUGGGGCCAAUGGAGAGGGGAAUGGGGAAGUCUUUGGGGUGAGGAGAAAAUAAUAGUAAUAAUAAUAAUAAUAAUACUAAUAAUACUAUGGGGCCAAUGGAGAGGGGAAUGGGGAAGUCUUUGGGAUGAGGAGAAAAUAAUAAUAAUAAUAAUAAUAAUAAUAAUAAUAAGGGACCAAUGGAGAGGGGAAUGGGGGAGUCUUUGGGGUGAGGAGAAAAUAAUAAUAAUAAUAAUAAUAAUAAUAAUAAUAAUAAUAAUAAUAUGGGGCCAAUGGAGAGGGGAAUGGGGGAAGAGUCUUUGGGGUGAGGAGAAAAUAAUAAUAAUAAUAAUAAUAAUAAUAAUAAUAAUAAUAAUAAUAAUAAUAAUAAUAAUAUGGUGCCAAUGGAGAGGGGAAUGGGGGAAGAGUCUUUGGGGUGAGGAGAAAAUAAUAAUAAUAAUAAUAAUAAUAAUAAUAAUAAUAAUAAUAAUAAUAAGGGACCAAUGGAGAGGGGAAUGGGGGAAGAGUCUUUGGGGUGAGGAGAAAAUAAUAAUAAUAAUAAUAAUAAUAAUACUAUGGGGCCAAUGGAGAGGGGAAUGGGGGAGUCUCAAAGCAGAUAGUGUGAUGGACCUGCCUUGA
rnacentral:lncRNA from 1 species